UACGUAAAAGACUAGUGUUAUUCAUCUUUAGUAGGUUUAAAGGGUACCUAGACGGUAUAAUUAGUCUUAAACAAGAAACGGUUAUGCUAGAGUUAUAUAUGAGAAGGGGAGUAUUUAUGGAGUAGAGUUGAAAUUCUUUGAUCCCAUAACGACUGGUAGCGGCGAAAGCAACCUUUUAUCUAAUAACUGACGUUUGAGGGACGAAAGGCUCGGGUCACGAACAGG
rnacentral:rRNA from 1 species